GUAACACGUAGUCAACCUGCCCUGGAGACAUGGACAACCCCGGGAAACUGGGGUUAAUCCGUGAUAGGUCAUCUCAUCUGGAAGGAGAGAUGGCUUAAAGGGAUGCGCGGGCUUCUUCUGCGUAUUUGCUCCAGGAUGGGACUGCGUCCGAUCAGGCUGUUGGCGGGGUAAUGGCCCACCAAGCCAGUAACCGGUACGGGCCUUGAGAGAGGUGGCCCGGAGAUGGACACUGAGAGAAGGGUCCAGGUCCUACGGGGCGCAGCAGGCGCGAAACCUUCGCAAUGCGCGCAAGCGUGACGAGGUUAAUCCGAGUGAUUUCCGCUGAGGAGACCUUUUGUCUGCUGUAAAUAGGCAGGCGAAUAAGGGGAGGGCAAGCCUGGUGUCAGCCGCCGCGGUAAUACCAGCUCCUCGAGUGGUCGGGGCGAUUAUUGGGCCUAAAGCAUCCGUAGCCGGUUCCGUAGGUCCUCUGUUAAAUCCAACCGCCCAACGGUUGACCUGCAGAGGAUACCGCGAGACU
rnacentral:rRNA from 1 species